rnacentral:rRNA from 1 species
GACGAACGCUGGCGGCGUGCUUAACACAUGCAAGUCGAACAGUGGCGCACGGGUGUGUAAUACGUCGGACCCUGCCCUCCUUUUUGGGAUAAGCCUUGGAAACGGGUUCUAAUACCGAAUAGUGUAGGGGGUUGCGCUCUGGCAUCAGCUUGUUGGUGGGGUAAAGGCCUACCACGGCGACGAGCAGUAGCGGGUCUGAGAGGAUGAUAAGCCACACGGGGACUGAGACACGGCCCAGACGCCUACGGGAGGCAGCAGUGGGGAAUUUUGGACAAUGGGCGCAAGCCUGAUCCAGCCAUGCCGCGUGUCUGAAGAAGGCCUUCGGGUUGUAAAGGACUUUUGUUAGGGAAGCGGUACCUAAAGAAGAAGCACCGGCUAACUACGUGCCAGCAGCCGCGGUAAUUC